GACGCCAGUCUGCAUGGAGCCGACCUUGAAAUACCACCCUUUAAUGUUUGAUGUUCUAACGUGGACCCGUGAUCCGGGUUGCGGACAGUGUCUGGUGGGUAGUUUGACUGGGGCGGUCUCCUCCUAAAGAGUAACGGAGGAGCACGAAGGUUGGCUAAUCCUGGUCGGACAUCAGGAGGUUAGUGCAAUGGCAUAAGCCAGCUUGACUGCGAGCGUGACGGCGCGAGCAGGUGCGAAAGCAGGUCAUAGUGAUCCGGUGGUUCUGAAUGGAAGGGCCAUCGCUCAACGGAUAAAAGGUACUCCGGGGAUAACAGGCUGAUACCGCCCAAGAGUUCAUAUCGACGGCGGUGUUUGGCACCUCGAUGUCGGCUCAUCACAUCCUGGGGCUGAAGUAGGUCCCAAGGGUAUGGCUGUUCGCCAUUUAAAGUGGUACGCGAGCUGGGUUUAGAACGUCGUGAGACAGUUCGGUCCCUAUCUGCCGUGGGCGCUGGAGAACUGAGGGGGGCUGCUCCUAGUACGAGAGGACCGGAGUGGACGCAUCACUGGUGUUCGGGUUGUCAUGCCAAUGGCACUGCCCGGUAGCUAAAUGCGGAAGAGAUAAGUGCUGAAAGCAUCUAAGCACGAAACUUGCCCCGAGAUGAGUUCUCCCUGACUCCUUGAGAGUCCUGAAGGAACGUUGAAGACGACGACGUUGAUAGGCCGGGUGUGUAAGCGCAGCGAUGCGUUGAGCUAACCGGUACUAAUGAACCGUGAGGCUUAACCUUACAACGCCGAAGCUGUU
rnacentral:rRNA from 1 species